UGAAAUCAUACAAGUUGGAAAUAUCUUGCAGUUUUUAUCGUUGUUUUGGACGAUGGAAAGAAUUGGACGUUAUGGGGAAAGUUUUGCAGGUUAGAUGCCAUUGAAACCAGUCUCUUGAAAUAUUCCCGGACACCUUGAUACCCACGCCAUGACAUACAGUUCCUACUUCAUGAAGUCCCUUCUCCUCUACAUGAUGAGAUUCACCAAAGGACCACCUUGUCAUUCUGGAUUUCAAGAUGAAAACAGGAUUCUUCAGUGAAUUCUUUGAAAAAUGUGAUGUGAAACGAUGAUCAUGUGCUAUGUA